rnacentral:rRNA from 1 species
UACGUAGGCAGCAAGCGUUGUUCGGAAUUACUGGGCGUAAAGAGUGUGUAGGCGGUGCUCUAAGUUCGGUGUGAAAUCUCCCGGCUCAACUGGGAGGGUGCGCCGGAAACUGGAGUGCUGGAGCGCGGGAGAGGAAAGCGGAAUUCCUGGUGUAGCGGUGGAAAUGCGUAGAUAUCAGGAGGAACACCGGCGGUGUAGACGGCUUUCUGGACCGUAGCUGACGCUGAGGAGCGAAGACGUGGGUAGCAAACAGG